UUAAAUAUAUUUUACAGAUAAGGAAAUUGAAUAUCAUAGAGAUAAAGAGACAAACACGGGGGAGUUUGGGAAUUAUUUUUUUCCUUCCUUCCUUCCUUCCUUCCUUCUUUCCUUCCUUUCUUUCUUUCUCUUUCUUUCUUUCUUUCUUUCUUUCUUUCUUUCUUUCUUUCUUUCUUUCUCUUUCUUUCUUUCUUUCUUUCUCUCUUUCUUCUUUCUUUCUUUCUCUCUCCCUCCUCUCUCUUUCUUUCCUUCUUUCUUUCUCUCUUUCCUUCCUUCCUUCCUUCCUUCCUUCCUUCCUUCCUUCCUUUCUUCUUUCUUUCUCUUUCUUUCUUUCUUUCUUUCUUUCUUUCUUUCUUUCUUUCUUUCUUUCUUUCUUUCUUUCUUUCCCUCCUUGGAGUUUGCAGAAGGAAAAUAUCUUUCAGGGCUCUAUUUUCUCUUGAUCGGAAAAUGCCCAGCACCAAAACACACCUCCCUUGGCAUCCUGUCAUUUUUCUUUUAAAAUUUCUUAGCUAUGAUGAAUCUGAUGCAGCCAGCUUCAUGGCUUCUGGCUUCUCUCCUUUCAGUCUGACCCAACAGUAGCUACCAGAGAGGUCUCCCUAAAAGGCAAAAAGACCAAGCCUUUCUCCUGCUUAGAACCUUCCCUGGCUUCCCAUUCCUUUUAGGGUAAAGUGCAAACUGCACACCGUGAUCCAGGCCCUGCUGACUCACCUGCUGAGAAUCCCCUCAUUCUUCGACACUUGGGUUAGUUCUUUAGGGCUGUCAUUCCACAGGUCGCUUUAUGCUCCUUACCAUAUAGUAUCCCUUUGCCCCGACACCCUUCUGGCUCUUGACUGCCUGAUGGACUUCUAGUCUUUUUCCACCACUGCUCUCAAAUAUGCAGAGCUGCAUCUAGUCAUAUACCUGUAUGUGAUGGAGAGAAGCAGAAAGAGAGGUGGGGGGAGAGAGAAUGGGAGGGAGAUAGGGAGGCAGACAGAGAAGAGAGGAUAGGAGGGGAAAGAAAGGGAGGAAGACAAAGGGGCGAAGAGAAAGACAGAAGAGGGGAGAGGAGGAGAGGGGAGGGGAUAAGAGGGAUAAAGAAAGAGAGGAAGAGACAAGCAGAGAGAGAUGGGAAGGCUGAGAGAGAGAGUAAGGGAAGAGAGGGGAGGUGAGGGGAAAGGAAAGAAGGGAAGGAGAGAGGAGACAGAUGGGGAGGAAGAGAGGAAAAUAGAAGGAGAUAUCUAAAACGAUAUUUGCCCCCCACCAAAUGUUAAGUGAUUAUCCUUGGGGGGAAGAACUUUGGAAGUUACACUUUCAAUUUUGUAUUUUAAAAUUGUGUGUAUUUUUAGUCCACUUACAGAUACACUUUUUCCAAACAGCAUACAACGACAAGAAAGUAACAUUCAAAUAUUACCAGGUCACUUCAGCUGUGAAUUCUUUUCAGGACCCCCCUUUUUUCUUCCAGAAUUAUGCACAUCUUCCCUUCCACCCACCUGCCCCAAAUGGAGGGGUGUAGCUGGCCACCUGGGAGUUGUUGAAAGACAGGAAGAUCAGUGCCUUAUCUUCCUGGUCUCCAGUGUUCUGCACCGAACCCGGCCAGGACAGGCCGGGCCUUGUAAAUAUUGGUUUAAUGACCAGACGCUGGAAACUCAUUAUAACACCAUGCAUUGUCCAGGUUAAAUAAUGGAAAGGAUUAUUACAGCAAUGAUGCUGCAAUAUACUCUCAAUUAGCCAUGGCAAUGAGGAGCACGGGGACAGCUCAUGCCACUAAGCUGGGGAUCAUCAAAAGGCAAUUUUCCCUUCUGUGGACCACCAUGCCCUCUUUGUGUUUUAGUUAUUGGUGAUUCCCUAUGAAUACACCAUCCCCCACACCCACAUCCAUACACCUUUUUUCUUUUUCUUUUUAGGGCAGGGGCACUGACUCAAAUCUCAAUCAUAUCUGGUUGGAGUUGAUCACAAAACCAGCUAGUUUCUUAACACAGGUGAUGAACCGCCAGUGAGCAGCUGUUCUCAAAGCGUGGGCCCCGUAUUUGCAACCUCGGCAUUGCUGCCUGAGAACUUGUUAGUAAGGCACAUUUUGAGGUCCACCUCUGAAUCAGAAUCUUUAGGUUGGUGUUCAGAAAUCUACACUCCCAUGAGUUUUUCAGGCGAUUCUGAUGCAUGCUCAAGCUUCAGGAUCAUUGGCCCGAAAGGGGACUCAGUUGCUUGGGUUCCAUUUCUGGCUGUGCUGCUUGUUGGCUGUCCCACCUCUGGCAAGUCCCCUCACCUCUUCAUGUCUCUGCGUCCUCACCUGUAAUAUGGGUACAUCCACAGUGCCCAUCUCAUAGGAUGUGUCAGGAUGGGUGAAGAGCAGUCAAACAGCACUCACACUUAGUCCCAGCAGAUGCUACCUGGUACCAUAUUUCAUGGAGUAGAAGCUGCCUUUGAUCAUCAGACUCAUCCAGAAUUCACAUAGUAAGUGUAGGGCAUAAGUUUUCCUUAAAACAGUAUUUCUCAAACUUCAGCGUACACACAAAUCACCUGGGAAUGUUGUUAAAAGGCAGACUCCAAUUCAGCAGGGCUGAGGCCAGAGACGCUGCAUUCUUAGCAAGCUCUCAUGUGGGAGGAUGCUGCUGGUCCCUGGACCACAUUUUUGUUGUAUGGGUUGGAUCCAGAACCAGCACCUUUGUGUACGGAUUGGAUCUCACAGUGGGCUCACAUGAUGUGCUGGCAAUGGUCAUGGACUGGUCCUGGGACAGGGUGGUGGAACAGGAUGUAGUUCAUUUUGCUCAUUCUUCUCUGGCCAAAGGACAGCAAGGAUUGACAUAAGAACUGGAGACAUGGUUUGAGCUCCUUGUAAGCCCACUCACUGGCCUAAAGGAAGCCCUUUGAUCUCAGCAUCCUUAUCUGCCAAAUAGACCACUCAAUGCCCACCAAGUCCAUUCUAAGGGCAAGUGGGGAAAAUCAAAUACCCAUGUUCUCAGUGAGUGAAUUAAUGACAUAUCUUUCCUUGGGACCAUGGUUUUUCCAGAGUUUAAAAAUAAUGAAAUGAUGUGGAUAUUUAAAGGCAUCAGGACAAGGCAUUGCUGGUGAAGUUGGCUAAUUAUUACAUUACCAUAUGAUCAUCAUCGGUGUGAGUCAUAAGCCCUGCACUCUGAUUCUCUUCUGAGCACCAGCCCUAGGAAUGGCCAGUCCUUACAAUCACCCUGGAAUUCUGACAGUUCCAGGGGACACCUGUCAGGCCACCCUCCUGGGUGGGCUUAGCAUACUGAGGGCCAUGCAGAGGGAGACCCGGUUGUAUCCUCAAAGCCUCAUUACUACAACCAUCGUCUUUGCAGCCACUCUGAUUUCAAGGCACUGCUCACUUCCUAGGGGACAUGACAGGGCUGGAGAGAGAAGGGGUCAUGCACCGCUCAGUUCCAGAAUGAACAAAGAACACUUAUGAGGGAGAGAAAAAAUGCCUCUUGACCGCCCCCAGCAUAUGUAUGCACAAAUACACACACAAACACACACAUACACACAUGCAUGCACAUGCACACACAUACACGUGCACGCACACGCAUACACACACACACACACACACACACACAGGCUGCCCCAGCCUGCAUGUCACCAUCAAUCAGCGCCUUCCCACUUGCCGUUUGCAGGCAGAGUUCCCCACAGAUGUGCUCGGGGGGCUGGGAGAAGGAGAAGAAGGUGGAGCUGGGGCUAGGGAGGGAGGGAGGCAGAGAUGUCCUCAAAGAGUUAAAACCUUGCCUCACCAGACUGCGAAUCCUCCUCGACUCUCCCCCACCCCCAUCCCCCUCAAUCCAGCCAAACAACAGCUUGACAUUUUCCAUCCUUCACGAGAAAGACAAAGACGGGAAGAUAUUCCCAUGAUCCCUUUCUGCAUGCCUAACCGUGAGCUCAGGUGCCGUAGCGUUUGCCCUGCGCCGGCCCCAUCAACAUGAAGGGCGAACUCAUCCUUUCUGCAUCUUUUUCUCGCCACUGCUUGAUUAAUUGGCUGACUACUACGCCGGCGGAAUACCUAAUGCUUUUCCUUCCCCUAUUCUUCCUUCACAGUUUUUUUUUCCUCCUUUGCUCCAUUUACAUAUACUUUAUAUUCCAUAAUUUUCACCCAAAAAGAAAAAAAAAAAAGAGCGGGCCCAUCUCAGUAAUUUGAUGUAAUGACGGCAUGUCACCAAAAAGAGGAAUUAGAAAAAUCUGUAGGUAUUUAAUUUAUUCUUGUUUUUUUUUUUUUUUUUGAAGUAGAGCUCUCUGAGAAAAGCAUUAAUAUUCAUGGGCAAGAGAAAAAAGUAUACUCAAUAGGAAAAUUCCAGAUUUUUUAGGGGUGGGGAGGCAGCUACAUUCAAUGCAUUUUUAAGCACCAUUAUUUAACUAAUAGUGCCUGAGUCCCUCUGGCCCUAGUUCCUCCCUUUCAAUGAAAAUAAGUGGGUUUUAGUUUGCCUUCAAGGGUUGUGUGUGUUGGGCUCACACCCACGCUGUUGAAGCAGGAAAGCUGGGCUCUGUGCUUUCCUCCCCUCCUGGGAGGACUCAAAUGAAGAAGAAAAACAUAAAUAAAGGCCUUUCAGAGUCCCAGGGCUGGAGUUUUGGUUCUCCUUCAGCCUCCCCUGUUGGCUGUCAUAGUUUUCUGAUGGCUCUACAGACAGAACAAUUUCCUUGAGGUUUCCCACUAGACCAACCCCUUCCUGUUAACUUGGGUUUGGGUUUUAUGCUAUUAAUUAACUACUUACUUAUCAAAAUAAGUGUUGAGUUAUACCAUAAUCAUGAUCGUUACCAAUGAAGCAGGAAAUAAAAUAAUGAAGCAUCAGACCGAUGCCAUAAAUAUGAGACCUGAGACCUGGAAUGGGAGCAGUUUUUCUCUCUCCAAGGCAGGUCUUUCCAAAGGGUCCCAGGGUGUGUGGCUCUCCUAGUAACAGUGGUAAGUUUGAGGCAUCUGAGGAUUUGACUCAGUCUAGUAGGAAGAUGAGUUCUCAGCCAUGGGGACCCAAAUGCCCACCCUCAUCUUAAUCAGUGGGAUCGGAAACAUGUAUGAGUUUAUGGGCCCUGAGUCUAAAUUAUUUGCCAAUUGUGAUCAUAAAAAUUAUUAUUAGCAUAAUGAUUAUAAUAAGCAAUUCUAUGUACUAUUAUUUUUCUUUAUUUUUAAAUGGGGUUAUAACUUACAUUAAGCUGCACGAAUCUUAUGUGCAGCUUGAUGAAUAUUUUACCCAUGUUUGUACUUUACCCA
rnacentral:lncRNA from 1 species